rnacentral:rRNA from 1 species
UACGAAGGGGGCUAGCGUUGCUCGGAUUUACUGGGCGUAAAGGGCGCGUAGGCGGGCUGUCAAGUCUGGGGUGAAAUCCCGCGGCUCAACCGUGGAACUGCCUCAGAUACUGACGGUCUCGAGGGAGGUAGGGGCGAGCGGAACUGUGAGUGGAGCGGUGAAAUGCGUUGAUAUUCACAGGAACUCCGGUGGCGAAGGCGGCUCGCUGGACCUCUUCUGACGCUGAGGCGCGAAAGCCAGGGGAGCGAACAGG